AGAAUCAACGCUGGCGGCGUGCCUAACACAUGCAAGUCGAACGAGAAAGUGGAGCAAUCCAUGAGUAAAGUGGCGCACGGGUGAGUAACACGUGGGCAACCUGCCCCAAGCUCUGGGAUAACCCCGGGAAACCGGGCUAAUACCGGAUACGACCUUAGAAAACAUCUUCUUUGGUGGAAAGUUUUUCGGCUUGGGAUGGGCCCGCGGCCUAUCAGCUUGUUGGUGGGGUAACGGCCUACCAAGGCGACGACGGGU
rnacentral:rRNA from 1 species